rnacentral:rRNA from 1 species
AGGGUUUGAUCAUGGCUCAGAUUGAACGCUGGCGGAAUGCUUUACACAUGCAAGUCGAACGGCAGCACGGACUUCGGUCUGGUGGCGAGUGGCGAACGGGUGAGUAAUGUAUCGGAACGUAUCCAGUAAUGGGGGAUAACUAAUCGAAAGGUUGGCUAAUACCGCAUACGCCCUACGGGGGAAAGCAGGGGAUCUUCGGACCUUGCGUUAAUGGAGCGGCCGAUAUCUGAUUAGCUAGUUGGUGAGGUAAGAGCUCACCAAGGCGACGAUCAGUAGCUGGUCUGAGAGGACGACCAGCCACACUGGAACUGAGACACGGUCCAGACUCCUACGGGAGGCAGCAGUGGGGAAUUUUGGACAAUGGGCGCAAGCCUGAUCCAGCCAUUCCGCGUGAGUGAAGAAGGCCUUCGGGUUGUAAAGCUCUUUCGCAAGGGAAGAAACGAUGCAGACGAAUAAUCUGUGUUAAUGACGGUACCUUGAUAAGAAGCACCGGCUAACUACGUGCCAGCAGCCGCGGUAAUACGUAGGGUGCAAGCGUUAAUCGGAAUUACUGGGCGUAAAGCGUGCGCAGGCGGUUUUGUAAGUCAGAUGUGAAAUCCCCGAGCUCAACUUGGGAACUGCGUUUGAAACUAC